rnacentral:rRNA from 1 species
GACGAACGCUGGCGGCGUGCUUAACACAUGCAAGUCGAACGGCAAGGCCCUGCGUUUGUGGGGUGCUCGAGUGGCGAACGGGUGAGUAACACGUGAGUAACCUGCCCUUGACUUUGGGAUAACUUCAGGAAACUGGGGCUAAUACCGGAUAGGAGCUCCUGCUGCGUGGUGGGGGUUGGAAAGUUUCGGCGGUUGGGGAUGGACUCGCGGCUUAUCAGCUUGUUGGUGGGGUAGUGGCUUACCAAGGCUUUGACGGGUAGCCGGCCUGAGAGGGUGACCGGCCACAUUGGGACUGAGAUACGGCCCAGACUCCUACGUGAGGCAGCAGUGGGGAAUAUUGCACAAUGGGCGGAAGCCUGAUGCAGCGACGCCGCGUGCGUGAAGACGGCCUUCGGGUUGUAAACCGCUUUCGCCUGUGACGAAGCGGGAGUGACGGUAAUGGGUAAAGAAGCACCGGCUAACUACGUG